AAGUGUUAUAGCUCCUUUAGAAUUUGUCUAGUGGGCUUUCUGGGUUUUUACCAGAAAGUCCUU
ensembl:snRNA U7 U7 small nuclear RNA